rnacentral:rRNA from 1 species
GAAACCAACAGGGAUUGCCUCAGUAACGGCGAGUGAAGCGGCAAAAGCUCAAAUUUGAAACCCUCGGGAUUGUAAUUUGAAGAUUUGGCAUUGGAGAAAGCUAACCCAAGUUACUUGGAAUAGUACGUCAUAGAGGGUGACAACCCCGUCUGGCUAACCGUUCUCCAUGUAUUGCCUUAUCAAAGAGUCGAGUUGUUUGGGAAUGCAGCUCAAAGUGGGUGGUAAACUCCAUCUAAAGCUAAAUACUGGUGAGAGACCGAUAGCGAACAAGUACUGUGAAGGAAAGGUGAAAAGAACUUUGAAAAGAGAGUGAAAUAGUAUGUGAAAUUGUUGAUAGGGAAGGAAAUGAGUGGAGAGUGGUUUAGGUUUCAGCCUUCUUUCGAGGGGGUGUACUACCAACGCCGAGUCAUUGUCAGCGAGACAGGGGUUAUAAACGGGUUGCCUUCUGGCUUCUCACCUAACCCCU